rnacentral:lncRNA from 1 species
UGGCCAAAGCAAGAACAAAGGAAGAAAAAGGAAGAACAAGAACCCUAGGGUGAAAAUUCAAGAGAAAAUUGGUGGAUUUCAAGUAAUCAAGCAAUCAAAGGUAAAAUUUCUUGAUUUUGACUUGUGAUCUACCUUUCCCAUGCAUUAUUUUGCAUUUUCCAUGGUUGAAUCACAAGAUAUCAUGAAGGAUAGUGUGCUGAUCAAACCCUAGGAAAGAGGUUUUGAUGCUUGAUUUAGUUAGAUUUCAAUGUAUUUUAGUGUUUUUAGUUGAUUGGUGAUAUGUAGCAUGAAAAUCAAACAAGAAAAAUUCAUGUUCUCCCAUCACCCAUCAUUGGCCAAAUUCUCCAUGUAGAAUAUUGAUGAUGAUUUUGAUUUUAUUUCAAGUGAUUUGGUUAGGAAUUAAUGAUUUAUGGUGUGAGAAUCAAGUAGGAAAAAUUAUAGUGUUGACACACCCACCAUGGCCAAAUUUCUCAAGAGAAAAUGUGAGAAUGAUUUUACCAUAUCUCAAGUUAUUUAAUUUGUGUUUGAUGAUUUGAAGUAUUGGGAGAAAAAUAAAAUUAUUUGGAGUUGAAUUGGAUGUAUUGGCCAAUUAAUCGAGUGAUAGAUCGAAUUAGGCCAAUACCGUUUAAUUUAGGUACACAAUUGAAUUUGUGUAAAACACCAUGUUUAGACAAUAAUCCGAACAAUUUGCAUCCCAUUUCAUACAUUAGUAUAAAGCCUGAAUUGGUUUUAUAACAAUUUAGUACAAUGUAGUGAAUGGCUUAUUAUGCAUUAUGUGUAGGUGGUGAGCAUUCUGGCAAAAGUAAAGAGAUAGUACCCGAGGAUCAAGAAUCGGAAUACUUGGAAUUCAACUCCCGAAAUAGUGAGUAACCCUAUCAUCAUCUUAAUUAUCUAAAGUAUGCUUUAUUCGAUUCUGUGAAUUUUAUGGAAAAUGAAUUAAAUGAUUAAUUUUUUGAUUUUAUAAACAAAAUGUGAUUUAAUGAAAUGAUUUUAUAAAAUUGUUUUUAAAAUUGAAUGAUGGUUUGAAAAUAGAGUAAUUGGAGAUUGUUUUUGUGUGUUGUAAAUUCAUGAUUCUAAUUGAUUGGCUUAUGGCAAUAUUGGCAUGAAUGGUUGAUUUGAUAAAUGUGUUGGAAAUGUAUAAAUUGUUGAUCUGCCUAGAAAGGCUGUAAAAUAAAAUAAUUGUCAUGUCAUGCUAUUGCAAAUUUUAUUGUAUGAUGGGUUUAGCUUGCUGUAGUGGGUGGGUUUUCUGUGGAUCAGCCUAUUGGAGGGGCAUGAAAUCUCGUUAUAUUUUACUUCGGUUGGAGAGGCGAGUAGGGUAACUCCCGAGGUAUAACUUUAGAGUUUCACUCCACGCAAAACCACCACGUGAGGGUGAACUCAGCCAACGCCAAGGAAUGGCUAUAUUUUCAAAAUAAAAACAUGAUUUAUGCGUACAUAACUUUUUAACAGGUUUGGCAGACUCGGUUGGGAUAGCCCUCGAUCAAGGCAUCCCUGAUAACUGGGUAUGAGAAUGAUUUUGGCACGAGCCAAAGUUUUAAGAAAUUCAUAAGCCAUGUUGAUUACUCGAUUUAUAUGAAUUGAUUUUAUUUGGUUGAAACAAGUUGAAAGGUGAUGAAUUAUAGUAUGUUAAACUAUUUUAUCUAUCUCCAUUCACUCGGCUUUAGAUAUUUUAGAUGGUAUUUGUUUACUCACUGGGAUUAUAUAAUCUCACCACUCUCCUUUCCACCCAUUCAGGCUCAGAAUAGGCUGUAGAUAGCUGAUUUCAUCGAGGUUACCAUUGGAUUUGCAUCCUCCAAACUGUAGGUUCACAGUCUUCCUUACUUUUAGUUAUUCGAGGGCCCACUGGUUACUGUAAAUUAAAUUAAAUACUCUGGCUUACUGUAUUACAGUAUGUAUGAAUUUAUUUUGCUUUUACGCUGCUACAAAAAUUAUUUACGUAUAACUCUUAAAAUAUUGUUUUAUAAGAAAAUAAAAUAUUUUAUUGAAUAUUUCUUUUAUUUUUUUAUUAUAUCCAAAUAAUCAUAAUUUCAUUUUAAAUGAAGGUUUUAGAUGUUUAAACUUAUUUUUUAUUAUGAAUUAUGUGUUUUGUACUCACAUAGUACAUUUUUAGCGGAUUUCGAGAUUUUUGAGGAAAAAUGACCAAAAUGCUCUUGUGAGAAAAAAAAUGUUUUUCUAUUGCUUUGAUUUGGAAAUAGUUUAUAAUCUCUCAAAACAUAAUUUUAGUGACUAAUACUCACAAGGGAAGCGAGAAAAACUAAUGUUAAGCCUUGCGAGGUUUCGAUUGACAUUUCGAGUAAUAAAUGUCUAUCGGGAGGUCACGGCAGUUGUCACGAGCUUGAUGGGAGUUCCGAGUUGUGACAGUUUUUCUAUAAAAUGCAUGGGAACAAGCCUUUAGUGAAAUAUUUUUGGUGAUGUGGAACAUGAUUAUGAUGAAUCUCUGUACCUUUAUAUGAUGCUGAUGUGUAUAUAAAAAUAUAUGAUAUGUAUUGCUAAGUAAUUUUGUGUAAUUGAUGUAACCGUGCAUGUGCGGAGUGGGCAGUGCAUAUGCCAGUUGAAUGAUGAUGUUGUGACAACUACAAUCGUGCAUAUGCGGAGUGAGUAGUGCAUAUGCCGGUCGAAUGAUGAUGUUGUGACACUUACAACUGUGCAUGUGCGGAGUGGGCAGUGCACAUGCCGGUAAUGAUGUGCGUGUGGGGAGUGCAUGUUGGCUGAAAGAGGUGGUGGUAUUCGUGUUUAUAUAUAUAUAUAUACAUGCGUAGUAGAAAGUUUAUAAAUAUAGUAUGUGAUUGUAAUGUAUGUGGAAUCUUGCAUGUUGAACAGUGAAAGUUGUUAAGUAUUUUCAAAUUGAUGUUUAUUGCAACAAGGAAUUUGGCUAUAGCGAAAAUGGAUUCUCGCUGCAGCCAAAAACCCUCAAGUGAUGGUGCAUUAUUGUCACUUUGAAAGAGAUUUUGACCACCUUUCCAUCAGAAAUAGGCAAAGUGGUAAACACUAAAGUCGUAGCCCUACCUCUUAGCUUUCUAAUGACUAAACAAGCAUGUCAAUUGGACUUCUUUAGUGGGAUAUAUUCUUGAAAAACCAAAACAUAUGCAAACCGAGAAUGCCUUUUGCUGCAGCGAGAAACGUGUUGUCACAUUGCUACCUUGCUCGAUUUUUUGAUAUAAUUUUUCUUCACUCUUUUAUCUUCAUGAUUGAGCAUGGGUCUUUGCAACACUAAGAGUUUAUUUACCAAUGCUCGAAACACGGGGUUUAAGGAAGAAAUUAAACUAAACUGCAUUGUUUUCAAAACAAGUGCAUCAUGAUUUUUAAAUUUUCCUUAUCAAUUGCUUGUUCCCUUCCUAUGUUCACUCACUGAGUUCAUACUCACAGUUUUCAACUUCAUGUUUUUCAGAUCAGGAGGCAGUUAGAACCUAGGUCAAGGUGUCCACGUGGACUCAUCUCUUUAGUAGGUAUCUCGGCAUUCAAUAGUUGUACCUUUGCCAAGGUCACUCCGCUGGAAGUCGAGUGUCUUUAUGCUAUAUAUAUAGAUAAACGAAAUGUAAAAUUUUAAGAUGCUUGUCUUAGACAAUAUAUAUGUAUAUAUAUACUUUGAAUGGUAACGCCAUUAUGAGUUGGCGAUGGUUAGCACCAUUUUGGGGUAAUAUAUAUAUAUAUACAUGC